AUAUUUUCGAAUACACAUAAUAGAAUUGGAAAAAGACAGAAGGGAUUAGCAUGGUCCUUACGUAAGGAUGACAUGCAAAAUCGUGAAGCGUUCCACAUUUUU
rnacentral:snRNA from 1 species